GGACACGCCGCGUGAGUGAUGAAGGCUUUCGGGUCGUAAAACUCUGUUGUUAGGGAAGAACAAGUGCUAGUUGAAUAAGCUGGCACCUUGACGGUACCUAACCAGAAAGCCACGGCUAACUACGUGCCAGCAGCCGCGGUAAUACGUAGGUGGCAAGCGUUAUCCGGAAUUAUUGGGCGUAAAGCGCGCGCAGGUGGUUUCUUAAGUCUGAUGUGAAAGCCCACGGCUCAACCGUGGAGGGUCAUUGGAAACUGGGAGACUUGAGUGCAGAAGAGGAAAGUGGAAUUCCAUGUGUAGCGGUGAAAUGCGUAGAGAUAUGGAGGAACACCAGUGGCGAAGGCGACUUUCUGGUCUGUAACUGACACUGAGGCGCGAAAGCGUGGGGAGCAAACAGGAUUAGAUACCCUGGUAGUCCACGCCGUAAACGAUGAGUGCUAAGUGUUAGAGGGUUUCCGCCCUUUUAGUGCUGAAGUUAACGCAUUAAGCACUCCGCCUGGGGG
rnacentral:rRNA from 1 species